CAAUGGGCGAAAGCCUGACCAGCAACGCCGCGUGUGUGAUGAAGGCCUUCGGGUCGUAAAGCACUUUUCUGGGAGAUGAGAAAGGACAGUAUCCCAGGAAUAAGUCUCGGCUAACUACGUGCCAGCAGCCGCGGUAAAACGUAGGAGGCGAGCGUUAUCCGGAUUCACUGGGCGUAAAGCGCGUGCAGGUGGCGCGGUAAGUUGGGCGUGAAAUCUCCCGGCUCAACUGGGAGAGGUCGUCCAAUACUACCGUGCUUGAGAGCAGAAGAGGAAGAUGGAAUUCCCGGUGUAGUGGUGAAAUGCGUAGAUAUCGGGAGGAACACCAGUGGCGAAGGCGAUCUUCUGGUCUGUUUCUGACACUCAGACGCGACAGCUAGGGUAGUAAACGGGAUUAGAGACCCCGGUAAUCCUAGCCGUAAACGAUGUGAACUUGGCGUUGGUGGGUUAAACUCCAUCAGUGCCGUAGCAAACGCGAUAAGUUCACCGCCUGGGGACUACGGCCGCAAGGUUA
rnacentral:rRNA from 1 species